UCCUUGUUGUGACAGCUUGGUUUUUCAUUUUGGCACUCGACGCGCGAUGUGAAAUUCCCUUUCUUCAAGAAAAUAUUAAACUAAAAUACUUUGGGAAGCCCCUCUAAUAUAAAAAUGACAGACACAACGCUCUUAUUCUAAAUUAAGCAGUAAUAAACUAUGGAUGGGCUUAAACAAGAAAUUGGUACAAUAACUGUGGUGGACGACGAAACUAUUGAAGAUCGGUACAAAAGAUGCGGGCUUCUGAACGUGAUACAGCAUAUAGAUAUUUACGGAAAGUUCCGGUCCAGUUAUGUGGAGCAAACUAAAUCGAGAGUACAAGGCAACGACACCCCCUUGGCUAUCACAUCAAUAUCGGCAUCUUCUGGGCGAUUCUCAAACUUGAGCGACGCUUACAGUGACGUCACCAGACCCAAAAGCGUCAGUACGAAGCUCAGUAAGUUCUCUGUCACGACUCGAGUGUCUGGUUUGUACCCUGGACACGAUAUAUUGUCCAGGAGGGCCAGGAAAUGCAGGCUUUCGGACAAAAAGAACAAUGUAUGUUUCGGUGCUUAUGUUUCUAGGUGAUAAAUAAAUGUAAUCGAUGCGA